CCUACGGGUGGCAGCAGUGGGGAAUAUUGCACAAUGGGGGAAACCCUGAUGCAGCGACGCCGCGUGCGUGAAGAAGUAUUUCGGUAUGUAAAGCUCUAUCAGCAGGGAAGAAAAUGACGGUAACUGAUUAAGAAGCACCGGCUCACUACGUGCCAGCAGCCGCGGUAAGACGUAGGGGGCAAGCGUUAUCCGGAUUUACUGGGAGUAAAGGGAGCGUAGACGGCAGCAGAAGUCUGGAGUGAAAUGCCGGGGCUGAACCCCGGAACUGCGUUGGAAACUGUGCAGCUAGAGUGCAGGAGAGGUAAGUGGAAUGCCUGGUGUAGCGGUGAAAUGCGUAGAUAUUAGGAGGAACACCAGUGGCGAAGGCAGCUUACUGGACUGUAACUGACGUUGAGGCUCGAAAGCGUGGGGAGCAAACAGGAUUAGAUACCCGAGUAGUC
rnacentral:rRNA from 1 species